CACUUUGGAAGAGGGGAGGAAAGAGUGGUAGUGGGGGUAUCAUGAAUCAUGUAACCAUGGGAAAAUAUUUUAAAUAAAAUUUUUUUUGAAUAUAUAUUUUAAUAUCCUUUUAAAUAAACAUUCUUUUUUUUUCAAUUAAUGCAUGCGUUCUGGUUUACAGGAUGUGUCAUCAGUGGUUGUCCUUUGAAUUCUCUUGCCCUUCAUACUGUGGAAAAAGGAAAGGACUUCAUUGGUCAUUUGAUCUCCUCUACCUUUCUCUUAGAAAAUCACAGUUGAGAGGUACAACAGAAGUCCCUUCUCUCCAAGAUGCACUGAAGGGGAAGAAGGAAGUGAUUGUUAUACCCAAGAAAAAAGCCAAAUACAAGGCCUUAAAGGUUAAAAAGGCAAUAAUGAAGAAUAUUCACAGCCAUAAAAGGAUCAGAACAUCCCCCAUUUUCCAGUUACCUAAGACACGAAUACUUCAAAGGCAACACAAAUACAUUCAGAAGAGUUUCCCUCAGAGAAAUGAAAUUGAUAACUAUGACCACUGAGUACAUUAAGAAGAAGAUUGAGGACAACAACAUCCUCAUCUUUGUUGUGAACAUCAAGACUAUCUGUAUCAAGAUCAAGAGGCAAUAGUGAACUACCAAAAAACUUUUUUACUGAAUUAGAAAAACCCAUAGCAAAGUUCAUUUGGAAGAACAAGAGAUCAAGGAUAUCUAGGGAAACAAUGAAAAAUAAAUACCAAGGAAUGUGACCUUGCA
rnacentral:lncRNA from 1 species